GGAAGGCCUCCUUAAGGAAGCUGUCAGUUAAAUGAAGCCCCAAAUACUGAGCAGGAAGCAGCCAGAUGAACAGAAUAGGGGAGGGUUGUCUAUGGCCAUACCACCCUGAGCGUACCCCAUCUCCUCUGAUCUCGGAAGCUCAGCAGGAUCGGGCCUGUAGAGACGGGGUUUCACCAUGUUGGCCAGGCUGGUCUCGAAUUCCUGACUUCAAGUGAUCUGCCUGCCUCAACGUCCAAAAUUGCUGGGAUUCCAGGAGUGAGCCACCACGUCCGGUCCUGCCAUCAUUCUUAACAAGAGCGCCCCCACCAUCGUCCAGAGAGAGAUGGAAUAUCCAGAGAAGAACAGAGCUCACAGAAGGAGAGACGGGGUUUCACCAUGUAAGCCAGGAUGGUCUCGACCUCUUGACCUUGUGAUCCGCCAGCCUCGGCCUCCCAAAGUGCUGGGAUUACAAGCGUGAGCCACUGCACCCGGCCAGAAGUCAUCUUUAAACAUCUUUAAACCUCUUCCUGUGGCAUCCACAUGCCCUUGAGAUGCUCAUCGGAAUCUGCUCACCCGUGGGCCUUGGAAGGAGGAGGCUGAAUUCCUCCCACCUGUGGCUUCUCCUGUGGAAUGGGAUACUCCAGGUCUCCUGGCCUAAGGAAGCGGGGGCUGGGACUCACUGAAGGCUGUAACAUUGGGUUAGGGGGUUACAACCAGCAGUUUUAAAAAAACGGAGUAGAACUAGGGUUACCAGGUGAAAUACAGGAUACCCAGUCAUAUCUGCAUUUCAGAUAAGUAACUUUUUUAAAGUGUGUAUGUCCCAAAUAUUCUGUGGGGUGGAACAUACUAAAAAAAAAAGUAUUUACCUGAAAUUCAAAUUUAGCAGGUGUCCUGUAUUUGUACUGCUCAAUCUGGCAAUCCUAAGUAGAAUGGAAGAGAAAGUGUGGGAAGGGGCCAGGGCGUGCAGGGGAAAUGUGAUUGCCUGUGCAUUUGUGGGCAUGUAUUGUAAAUACCCGCGUGUUUCUUAACUGUGGGUUGGAGCAAGCAGUGAGAAGCCGCUGUCCCUAGUGGUUGUGAGGGCUACGUGUGAGGCUGCCGCAAAGCCGCUUAACAGCGCCCGGGCAGUAACGGGGGCUCACGCCUGUAAUCCCAGCACUUUCGGAGGCCAAGGCGGGUGGAUCACCUGAGGUCAGGAGUUUGAGACCAGCUUGGCCAACACGGCAAAACCCCGUCUCUACUAAAAAUACAAAAAUCAGCCGGGUGUGGUGGGGCGCACGUGUAACCCCACCUACUCGGUCAGACUUUCACCUCUCUUCCAAGGCGAAGCCUCAGUUCUGCUCUCUGGGGCCUCACCUGGGCAAAAGUGCCACCAGGUGGGCAGUGAGCCGAACGCCAGCGGAUACUUCCACCCACGCAGUGGUCUCCGCGGAGAGGCCCUGCAGGCAUGCGCGGCAGGCGCAGGGUGGCGGGGCGGGGUUGCGGCGGAGUGAGAUGGAAACAGAGGGAAAAUGCCUGUCGCCCUGACGCUCAUCAGGUGCAGCGUGCUCCGCUCGCGUGUGUGGUGGUGCUGGUGUAGACAAACCUACUGCACCAUCAGUUGUGUCAAAGUUUAACACAUGCAACUGUGCACAGUGCGUAAUCAUAAUAAACAAUUAUGUGGUUUAUGGAUUUAC